rnacentral:lncRNA from 1 species
GUUCCUUGUGCUUAAGCUCCAUAUAUUCUUUCUUAAGUUCUUCGAUUCCAGCAAUUUUAUGGUCCUCGGUCAGUUUCUCUCGGUCUUCUUCUUCUUCUUGAUCUCCUUCCUCGCCUUCCUCUUCCUCUUGUUCUCCACUUUCAUCUUCGUUGUUGUAAUGGUUAACAUCAUCAUCGUCGUCACUGUCACUAUAGCCAUUGUUGUCAUCGCUGUCGUUGACUUCAUCAAAGUUCUCAACCUAAGCACAUCAAAAACAUAUAUCACAUGCAAACUAUUUACGCAAAAAAGAUAAAGCUCAGUACCAGGUAAGAAAUACAUAAAGCUAAGUGAGAAAAACUAACAUAGUCCGACAUCUCAUUUAACAUUUCAUCAUUCUCAAACUCAGAGUUGCUUUCACUCUCCCCUACUUUCCUCGAUCUCUUAGAGGACUUGCUCAUUUUCCUGCCUCCGAAAUCUUUAAAAAAAUGCAUCAGUUAUUAGUAGGGUUAUUAAAGGUGCACAUGACAAAAACAAAAGCCUAUUUUUAUAAAAAACAAUACUUUUAAAGAUAGAGUUGGAAAUCUCCUUAAAAGCAAGACACGCUCCAAAGGAAAAGAGAGUAUAAUAGGAGCUCAAGCAGAAAUUUUCUCACUUCAUACUUAAAUACAAAAUGGGAUUACCUCAAAAUAUCUAAAGCUAAGCUAUCUAUAUACAAGCCAAACUACAUCAAACAUCUAAACCUUACUAACUAAUUAAACAACAACAACAACAACAAACCCAAUGGAACCCAACAAAUGAGGUAUGGGAGGGUAGUGUUUCCGAUACAACAAAGCAAAGGAAAUAAAGUAACGAAAAAGACAUGGAAAGAGCAGUAACAACAGCAAGAUAGUAACAGAAGCAAAGCGCCAUACUAGCUAAUUAAGUUAGCUAAAAACAAGAAGAAGCACAUUACUCUUACCUUGAGUUAGAUUACCACUAUUCAAUCGGAAUUUUUGUCCAAUCCUCCUUCGGUCGUAACCCUAGCAGAGGUGAUUUGGGGAUUUUAGAAGAAAGCAACGUUACUUGUCAAAGAAAACAGAGUGAAUAAAUGAAGCUAAACCUCUG